rnacentral:lncRNA from 1 species
CUCGCGUUGGAGGAGCUUGCUCUGAGCUGCUGCCACCUGCUGGGCUGGAGCUGGAGCUGGAGCUGCGAAUUCGGAGUCCCGGUUCCCUGUGCCACCUGGCGAGCUCAGCAAACUAAAAGUCUCUUUGUCUUCAUCGUUUCCGGCACUGAUGUGAGCACAUCAUAAGCACAAGACCUGGACACCUUUACAAUCAGAGGUAGCAUCUGUCUGGAACUGUAUCUUGACUCUCACUGGUGCUUUUCCUUUGGUUGAUGCAAAGCUUUUGAAUCCUUUAGGGAGAUGUCAUUGGCCUAGGACUGGAGCUCUGGAUCUGACCGGAGCAAAGAGGAAGCACGCAAAUCCGGACAUGACGACGAGGAGGCAGUAGAGACCCAUCCUCAACUACCCCCUGAGUGCCGAUCCCACCUGUGAAAGGGGAGGAGCAGAUCUGGGGAAGGGAUAUGCCCAGAGGAAAUCAACAAGACCAAAGAGACGUCAGAGUCCUGAUGGCCAAAAUCAGACACCAGCUUUCCUGAGAAGGCAGAAGAGAGAGCCCCAUAGAAGCAGUGGGGGCUCAGAAGGUUCAGUGGGUUCACAGGGGAGCAGAGGCUCCUGAGGGCUUACUCAGACAGGAAGCAGCCCCCCAAAACAUACUUCCCCUUCUCCUCCCACAGAAACAGAACAGAUAAAGUUCAGAAUUCUAGGCCCAAAAGGGUGCAACACCCUUCAACCAGUUUCAGUGAAGAGCUUGCUGGCCUGGGAAGUAAAGAAGGGGUUUCCAAAUA